AGCAGCCGCGGUAAUUCCAGCUCCAAUAGCGUAUAUUAAAGUUGUUGCAGUUAAAAAGCUCGUAGUUGAAUUUCGGGAUCAAUAUGUCGGUCGUGCCUUCGUACGUACUGGCAUCAUUGGUUUCUCCCUUCUGACAAACCAUGAUGUCAUUAAUUUGGUGUUAUGGGGAGUUAGGACUGUUACUUUGAAAAAAUUAGAGUGUUUAAAGCAGGCAUUAGCUUGAAUACAUUAGCAUGGAAUAAUGAAAUAGGACGUUUGACCCUAUUUUGUUGGUUUCUAGGAUCGACGUAAUGAUUAAUAGGGAUAGUUGGGGGCAUUAGUAUUCAAUUGUCAGAGGUGAAAUUCUUGGAUUUAUUGAAGACUAACUACUGCGAAAGCAUUUGCCAAGGAUGUUUUCAUUAAUCAAGAACGAAAGUUAGGGGAUCGAAGACGAUCAGAUACCGUCGUAGUCUUAACCAUAAACUAUGCCGACUAGGGAUCGGAUGAUGUUAAUUUUUUAAUGACUC
rnacentral:rRNA from 1 species